rnacentral:siRNA from 1 species
UUGACGAAUAACACCGGUGCUC